rnacentral:misc_RNA from 1 species
GAUGAAGAACGUAGCGAAAUGCAAUACUUGGUGUGAAUUGCAGAAUCCCGUGAACCAUCGAGUCUUUGAACGCAAGUUGCGCCCGAAGCCAUCAGGUUGAGGGCACGUCUGCCUGGGCGUCACAUAUCGUUGCCCAAUGCCUAUUGCAGUGCAAUAGGAAUUUCUAGGGCGAAUGAUGGCUUCCCGUGAGCGUUGUUGCCUCGCGGUUGGUUGAAAAUCGAGUCCUUGGUAGGGUGUGCCAUGGUAGAUGGUGGUCGAGUUAGAACGAUACCGAUCAUGUGCAUGCUCCCCAAAAUAUGGCCUCUAUGACCCACACGCGUCUUUUGACGCUCAUGACGAGACCUCAGGUCAGGCGGGGCUACCCGCUGAAUUUAAGCAUAUCAAUAAGCGGAGGA